UCGCGGGACCGGGCCCCUCUGGCGCGGCGUUGUUGGCAGCAGCCCAAGGGUCAUUGCCGGAAAACGCCACGUGAUGUCGGACCGCAUCG
rfam:Croceicoccus naphthovorans strain PQ-2, complete genome.